rnacentral:rRNA from 1 species
GACGAACGCUGGCGGCGUGCCUAAUACAUGCAAGUAGAACGCACAGUUUAUACCGUAGCUUGCUACACCAUAGACUGUGAGUUGCGAACGGGUGAGUAACGCGUAGGUAACCUGCCUGGUAGCGGGGGAUAACUAUUGGAAACGAUAGCUAAUACCGCAUAAUAUUAAUUAUUGCAUGAUAAUUAAUUGAAAGUUGCAAUUGCACCACUACCAGAUGGACCUGCGUUGUAUUAGCUAGUAGGUGAGGUAACGGCUCACCUAGGCGACGAGACAUAGCCGACCUGAGAGGGAGGGCGGCCGCACUGGGAGUGAGACACGGCCCAGACUGCUACGGGAGGCAGCAGUAGGGAAUCUUCGGCGAUGGACGAAAGUCUGACCGAGCAACGCCGCGUGAGUGAAGAAGGUUGUCGGAUCGUAAAGGUAUGUUGUAAGAGAAGAACGGGUGUGAGAGUGGAAAGUUCACACUGUGACGGUAUCUUACCAGAAAGGGACGGCUAACUACGUG